CCAAUUUUAGAGAAAGCAUUGCCAUUUUCUCUUUACUUACCGGUGGCUCGUUUUGUUAGUUUUUAACUAAAAAGAGCUGUUUUUCGCCACUAGCAGACAACAUAUGAGAUAUUUCUUUUCUGUCAGGUAAACAAAUAGCUAUUUACGGGAGUUCAAAACAGAUUAUAAAUGUGUCUGUCUGUUACAGUUGUCUGACAGUCCCCACGUGAAACACUGGGUAAAAACAUCUGUUCAUCAGAGGUGGGAACUGAGAUAAAAAGGAGACAAGCUCCACCCCCUCCCUCGUGGGUCUCGUGGACUGGCCGUUGGAUGGAGCGUCGUCUACACAGCCCUUCCGCCUCGAAGCCUCUGCAGGAUCCCCGCGCGGACGGCACGGUUUCCUUCGCUCUAGGGCCUCCUUGGAGUCGGUUCUGUGAAACACAAGUGCUCCAAGGCGUCCCAAUCUGCGGCGUCCUUUGAAAUUCUAUCCCGUGUGUGUUGGAGCUGAGCCAAUUAACAGGAAGAGAAUUGGGUGGAUUGCAGAGAAGCUGGCAAGACUGUGUUUACCAAUUAGUUUUUUUUUAUGAUGCAAAUGUCGCGCCGCAUGCGGCAGGAAUAAAAGCUAGCUAUGCUGAAUAUGAAACUGUUAAUUGCAUUUUCGGAGACACAGCUACAAGGUGAAACUAAUCAUACAAAUGAUAACCGAGUCUCACCUCCUACAGAGCUCGGCUAUUGCACCUCCACUAAUCUGUGUUAAAACAGCCCCAUUCGCCUUUGCAGGAAAGGAAAACACAGCAUUUGGAACAUAACCUUCCGUUUUAAAGAGAAAAAGUGUGUAUAUGUGGGGAGCAAUAUAAAGGAUAAUUUCCACUUAAAUCAGAUUAAUAAUGUUAACAAACACUAUGGCAAAGGGCAGGAUGAUGCUUCUCGGUGCUUCUUUGCUUUAAAAUUAUACAAGAAUGUGUUUGCAAAUGAACACCGGCACAUUCCGAAAACUAACUCAGAACAAGUGAGCUCCUUGAAGAAAAGGGUCGUGAUAAUUACGGACAGUUGAUUUUCGCAACCAGGGCACAUCAAACAAAGAGGCCAUCUUCUGGUCGAGGGAGACCAGACAUGUCCUAGGAGUCUCAUUUACUUAGUGCCCAGGUGACUAGGAGGGGCACGGGGUGAGGACCUCUGUGGGGUGGGGGCGCACUGGGUCCAGGCCACCCAGGGCCUCGGUCUCACUGCUGCGCUGAAGGAAAGACAGGAGCUGCCCGCUAACUCUGUACGUGAAGCGUCCAAGUCUGGGCCCACAGAAGCAGUUCUGGAAGGGGUGUGGUCACAUCUGGGGUCAGGUUUGGUUUUAAAACGCCCCUUUAAGAGCUUAUGUUCUUUUUCCCAUUUCUGUAUUAACUGCCCCAAUUCUGCUUAAGUUCAAGUCAAAAUGCACAAACAGUAAUCAAGAAACCAACCAGCAGCGAAGAAGAGUGGGUGAGAGCAGCGACCCGUCCGUCCCUCAGUCAGGCCCGCAUCCUUGUGGGAGCCCUAACUGGGGGCUUCCGUCGGAGGUGACGGGCGGACGACUAACCUGGCUUUGGGGACCCUCCCAGAGCACACAGGCAUACCAAGUCAUUGCCAUGCACGCCGUGCACGUAUUACGACUGUCAAUGGUGCCUCAAUAAAUGUGUCUCCUGCCUCACACUUCAGCUUACUCGGCUAUUUAAGACACUGGUUAAAAAGAG